rnacentral:rRNA from 1 species
CAGUCGCCACGGUAAUACGAAGGGUGCAAGCGUUAAUCGGAACUACUGGGCGUAAAGCGUGCGUAGGCGGUGAGUUAAGUCUGCUGUGAAAUCCCCGGGCUCAACCUGGGAAUGGCAGUGGAUACUGGCUCGCUAGAGUGUGUCAGAGGAUGGUGGAAUUCCCGGUGUAGCGGUGAAAUGCGUAGAGAUCGGGAGGAACAUCAGUGGCGAAGGCGGCCAUCUGGGACAACACUGACGCUGAGGCACGAAAGCGUGGGGAGCAAACAGGAUUAGAUACCCGCGUAGUCCCUGUCUCUUAUAA